rnacentral:rRNA from 1 species
CCUACGGGGCGCAGCAGUGGGGAAUAUUGCACAAUGGGGGAAACCCUGAUGCAGCAACGCCGCGUGAGUGAAGAAGUAUUUCGGUAUGUAGAGCUCUAUCAGCAGGGAAGAAGAUGACGGUACCUGAGUAAGAAGCCCCGGCUAACUACGUGCCAGCAGCCGCGGUAAUACGUAGGGGGCAAGCGUUAUCCGGAUUUACUGGGUGUAAAGGGAGCGUAGACGGCUGUGCAAGUCUGGAGUGAAAGGCAUGGGCUCAACCUGUGGACUGCUUUGGAAACUGUGCGGCUUGAGUGUCGGAGAGGCAA